rnacentral:rRNA from 1 species
UGGGGAAUAUUGGACAAUGGGGGCAACCCUGAUCCAGCAAUGCCGCGUGAGUGAUGAAGGCCUUCGGGUUGUAAAGCUCUUUUGCCAGGGACGAUGAUGACGGUACCUGGAGAAUAAGCCCCGGCUAACUUCGUGCCAGCAGCCGCGGUAAUACAGAGGGGGCAAGCGUUGUUCGGAAUUACUGGGCGUAAAGGGCGCGUAGGCGGCCCGCUAAGUCGAACGUGAAAUCCCUGGGCUCAACCCAGGAACUGCGUCCGAUACUGGUGGGCUUGAAUCCGGGAGAGGGAUGUGGAAUUCCAGGUGUAGCGGUGAAAUGCGUAGAUAUCUGGAGGAACACCGGUGGCGAAGGCGACAUCCUGGACCGGUAUUGACGCUGAGGCGCGAAAGCCAGGGGAGCAAA